AUAUGUGUAUUUUUUUACCUUUCCACUUGAAUUAUAUUUUUGAAUUUUAGCUUAUAAAUGAUGUUUUUUCAGCUAGAUUUUUUUUCUUAUCAUAUUUUUAGGUAAGUACACAUGACAUAGAGAGUUCAUUUGUUGUUUCAUGUUGAUAGCUUAAAUUUAACAUUAUGAUCAUUAAGGCUAUUUUGAGUUUGUCAUGAAUUUUUAUGCACAUUAAGGCAAAUCUCAAUUCUGCAACACUAAACAUUUUUAAGAUUUAGCUAUGCUAAUUUUAUCACUUAUGAGUUAGAAGUAAUUUAUUUGUGUUAUUUUUUUACCUUCAACAAACUCUUCCUUUCAUGAUUGUACUUGUGAUUAAAAAUUGGACAAUCACUCAGCCUGUCUAGAACAAAAUUAUGAACUUGGAAUUCUGUCUCCACAUUCCAAAACUAUUAUGGAUUGCUAUGUUUGGAAUAACCAAACUCUUGGAUAUUAUAAUUCUAUGUUUUAGAAGAAUUGGAACUUGAGAAUCUUAUUGACAACUUGUUGGUGAUCAAUUCUCGAGAGAAAAGAAUUCUGAGUCUAUGAUAGUUAUAAUUUUCAAGAAUUAACUUCUCAGAUCUUAUGUUUGAACUGAUGGGAAAUGAUAUUUUAUUUCUUAAUGUACUUUACUAACUUUUUCCUAUACUAUGAGUACACAGGCUUCUUUAUUAAAUAUGGGUAAAAAACAAUGAAGAAAGAGAGUGAGUGGAUUAGAUAUUAAAAUUCUAGUUCCCAAUUUUUUAUUACUCCAAACAAAAAAUUCUGUUGGUACUAAGGAAUUGGACUCUGGGUUACAUGAUAUGUUUCUGUGACUGUAAUUUUUUUUUUUUAUUUUCUUUUGUUUUGAAAUUGCUAAUGUGCAAAUACUUUGUGUUUGUAGCAAGGAACCUACGGAAACCCUAGACUUGUACCGGAAUCAUCUUGGAUUUCGAUGGGUUCCCACUGAUUAUAUGCAUACGAUGAAAUGUACCUAAAAUGGGAUAUUUACAGAAGGAGAAUUGAUACAUUAUGGGAAGGAUAAGAAGAAAGAAAAAAGGUCUUGAGGCAUGACGAUUUGUAUUUUUUUGUCGUUUAGAUGGCUUGUUAGGUUUGUUGUUUAUAUUAUGACGGUUGAACUUUGAUAUGUUUGGAUAUUAUAAUUUAUUGUUUCGAUGUUGUUUUAUUAUGUAUGAAUAUGAAAUAUUUAAUUUUAAUUUGAUGUGUUGGAUA